ACGUCGGUGGUAUAAUGGUCAGCAUAGCUGCCUUCCAAGUUUAAUUUGUUUUAGAUUUUACAAAGUAAACUAAACCAAGAAAAGUAAUAUAAUUGAGUCUUUUUUAUAAUUAUUCAAUUUUCUAACUCAAUAAAGCGUCACGUGGUAUAUGGUCAUAGCUGCCUUCCAAGCAGUUGAUCCGGGUUCGAUUCCCGGCCGACGCA